AGAGUUUGAUCAUGGCUCAGAAUGAACGCUGGCGGCGUGCUUAACACAUGCAAGUCGCACGAGAACGCUUCAGCUUGCUGAAGUAAGUAAAGUGGCGCACGGGUGAGUAACGCGUGGGUAAUCUCCCCCCGAAUUGGGGAUAACCCGCCGAAAGGCGGGCUAAUACCGAAUGAUAUCUUGGAAACUUAUGUUUUUAAGAUCAAAGAUGGCCUCUACAUGUAAGCUAUUGUUUGGGGAUGAGCCCGCGUACCAUUAGCUUGUUGGUAGGGUAAUGGCCUACCAAGGCUACGAUGGUUAGCUGGUCUGAGAGGAUGAUCAGCCACACUGGAACUGACACACGGUCCAGACUCCUACGGGAGGCAGCAGUGAGGAAUUUUGCGCAAUGGGGGAAACCCUGACGCAGCAACGCCGCGUGAGUGAUGAAGGCUUUCGGGUCGUAAAGCUCUGUCAAGUGAGAAGAAACCAUAUGGUGUUAAUAUCGCCAUAUGCUGACGGUAUCACUGAAGGAAGCACCGGCUAACUCCGUGCCAGCAGCCGCGGUAAUACGGGGGGUGCGAGCGUUAUUCGGAUUUACUGGGCGUAAAGAGCGCGUAGGCGGUCUUUCAAGUCAGGUGUGAAAGCCCGGGGCUCAACCCCGGAAGUGCACUUGAAACUAAAAGACUUGAGUAUGGGAGAGGGAAGUGGAAUUCCUGGUGUAGCGGUGAAAUGCGUAGAUAUCAGGAGGAACAUCGGUGGCGAAGGCGACUUCCUGGACCAAUACUGACGCUGAGGCGCGAAGGCGUGGGGAGCAAACAGGAUUAGAUACCCUGGUAGUCCACGCAGUAAACGGUGAACACUAGGUGUAGCGGGUAUUGACCCCUGCUGUGCCGCAGCAAACGCAUUAAGUGUUCCGCCUGGGGAGUACGGCCGCAAGGUUAAAACUCAAAGGAAUUGACGG
rnacentral:rRNA from 1 species